CAACUGUAACAUUUGAUUGCUUGGGGCUGCCUGAAGCAUUUGGAGGAUGAGAGGAGAGCAUUUAUUUUCUUUUGGAGAGAAAUCUCAACAGUAUGGGCAUAGCUGGCUCCUUUUAUUCCUGCUUUUCAUCGUCUUUGGCUAAACUGCCAUGGAGACCUGGCCCCUUCUACCUUAUUUCAGACACUUCAAAGACCAGGGACUCCUUGGCUAGAUCUUGAAGAAAUGCCUCAGGACACUGAGGCAGACCCACUCACCUGAGUUCCUGAAGAUCAAGCAGAAAAUAUUCCAGCCUUCAAGAGCAGAGUAAAUCUCGUUAAGACCUCACCUACCUUUCCUUUGGCAUGUGACUGCUUCUUAACCUCAAGAAGAAAGAAAGGAAUUGAAAUCUCAGAUAAUUGAAUGUUCCUGAAACAUUACAUCUCUUCAGGUGAUGUGAUUCUGCUGAAUAAACAUAAGCCAUGUAAUUGAUGAGGGUCUAUGACAAGUGAUAUAAAGACAUAAACAUGUACUGUUUGUAUAAUGAUAUGCUGCGAGUCUAUUGAGGAAAACCACAUAAUGAUGGCACUUCUAGAUCAUUAUCUCCCAAGUGAUGACAAUAUUACAUUUUGAGAUCGUCAUCUUCACUGGGGAGAUGCAGACACUAAAAUUAAACCCAUCACAUUAUCUACUUUGGUCUUCCCCAAACAGAGGAUGGCGUCUUUCCAAAUAGAAAAAAAAAAAAGAAUAUGCUUUACUCAGUAUUUAGUAUUAAGAGUUU
rnacentral:lncRNA from 1 species